rnacentral:rRNA from 1 species
GAUGAACGCUGGCGGCGUGCCUAAUACAUGCAAGUCGAGCGAACGGACGAGAAGCUUGCUUCUCUGAUGUUAGCGGCGGACGGGUGAGUAACACGUGGAUAACCUACCUAUAAGACUGGGAUAACUUCGGGAAACCGGAGCUAAUACCGGAUAAUAUUUUGAACCGCAUGGUUCAAAAGUGAAAGACGGUCUUGCUGUCACUUAUAGAUGGAUCCGCGCUGCAUUAGCUAGUUGGUAAGGUAACGGCUUACCAAGGCAACGAUGCAUAGCCGACCUGAGAGGGUGAUCGGCCACACUGGAACUGAGACACGGUCCAGACUCCUACGGGAGGCAGCAGUAGGGAAUCUUCCGCAAUGGGCGAAAGCCUGACGGAGCAACGCCGCGCGAGUGAUGAAGGUCUUCGGAUCGUAAAACUCUGUUAUUAGGGAAGAACAUAUGUGUAAGUAACUGUGCAUAUCUUGACGGUACCUAAUCAGAAAGCCACGGCUAACUACGUGCCAGCAGCCGCGGUAAUACGUAGGUGGCAAGCGUUAUCCGGAAUUAUUGGGCGUAAAGCGCGCGUAGGCGGUUUUUUAAGUCUGAUGUGAAAGCCCACGGCUCAACCGUGGAGGGUCAUUGGAAACUGGAAAACUUGAGUGCAGAAGAGGAAAGUGGAAUUCCAUGUGUAGCGGUGAGAUGCGCAGAGAUAUGGAGGAACACCAGUGGCGAAGGCGACUUUCUGGUCUGUAACUGACGCUGAUGUGCGAAAGCGUGGGGAUCAAACAGGAUUAGAUACCCUGGUAGUCCACGCCGUAAACGAUGAGUGCUAAGUGUUAGGGGGUUUCCGCCCCUUAGUGCUGCAGCUAACGCAUUAAGCACUCCGCCUGGGGAGUACGACCGCAAGGUUGAAACUCAAAGGAAUUGACGGGGACCCGCACAAGCGGUGGAGCAUGUGGUUUAAUUCGAAGCAACGCGAAGAACCUUACCAAAUCUUGACAUCCUUUGACAACUCUAGAGAUAGAGCCUUCCCCUUCGGGGGACAAAGUGGCAGGUGGUGCAUGGUUGUCGUCAGCUCGUGUCGUGAGAUGUUGGGUUAAGUCCCGCAACGAGCGCAACCCUUAAGCUUAGUUGCCAUCAUUAAGUUGGGCACUCUAAGUUGACUGCCGGUGACAAACCGGAGGAAGGUGGGGAUGACGUCAAAUCAUCAUGCCCCUUAUGAUUUGGGCUACACACGUGCUACAAUGGACAAUACAAAGGGCAGCGAAACCGCGAGGUCAAGCAAAUCCCAUAAAGUUGUUCUCAGUUCGGAUUGUAGUCUGCAACUCGACUACAUGAAGCUGGAAUCGCUAGUGAUCGUAGAUCAGCAUGCUACGGUGAAUACGUUCCCGGGUCU